CUACGGGUCGCUCCAGUGAGGAAUAUUGGACAAUGGAUGGCAAUCUGAUCCAGCCAUGCCGCGUGAAGGAAGAAUGUCCUAUGGAUUGUAAACUUCUUUUGUAUGGGAGCAAUAAGUUGUACGCGUACAAUGAUGAGAGUACCAUACGAAUAAGCAUCGGCUAACUCCGUGCCAGCAGCCGCGGUAAUACGGAGGAUGCGAGCGUUCUCCGGAUUUAUUGGGUUUAAAGGGUGCGUAGGCGGUUACUGUAAGUCAGCGGUGAAAUUUAGGGGCUUAACCCCUACCGUGCCGUUGAUACUGCAGAGCUGGAAUAGGGAUGCUGUUGGCGGAAUGUGUAGUGUAGCGGUGAAAUGCAUAGAUAUUACACAGAACACCGAUUGCGAAGGCAGCUGACAAAUCCCUUAUUGACGCUGAAGCACGAAAGUGUGGGGAUCGAACAGGAUUAGAUACCCCUGUAGUC
rnacentral:rRNA from 1 species